rnacentral:rRNA from 1 species
UACGGGGGGGGCAAGCGUUGUUCGGAAUUACUGGGCGUAAAGGGCUCGUAGGUGGCCAACUAAGUCAGACGUGAAAUCCCCAGGCUCAACUUGGGAACUGCGUCUGAUACUGGAUGGCUUGAAUUCGGGAGAGGGAUGUGGAAUUCCAGGUGUAGCGGUGAAAUGCGUAGAUAUCUGGAGGAACACCGGUGGCGAAGGCGGCAUCCUGGACCGACAUUGACGCUGAGGCGCGAAAGCCAGGGGAGCAAACGGG